rnacentral:tRNA from 1 species
GCCAGCUCAGUGGGUGGAGCAUGUGACUCUUGAUCUUGGGGUUGUGGGUUCGAGUCCCUCAUUGGGCG